AGUCUGGUGCCAGCAGCCGCGGUAAUUCCAGCUCCGCAGGUGUAUAUCUAUGCUGCUGCGUUUAAAAAGCUCGUAGUAAGAUCUGCGUGCUCGGAACUGGUUGGCUCACUGAGUUCAAACUGGUCUCCGGCGCUUUAUUGGCUGGUUUUCCCUUGAUGCUCUUAACCGGGUGUCUUGGGUGGCUAGCACGUUUACUUUGAAAAAAUUAGAGUGCUCAAUACAGGCGUAAAGCCUUGAAUAGUGGUGCAUGGAAUAAUAGAAUAGGACCUCGGCUCUAUUUUGUUGGUUUUCGGAACGCGAGGUAAUGAUUAAGAGGGACAGACGGGGGCAUUCGUAUUGCGACGUUAGAGGUGAAAUUCUUGGAUCGUCGCAAGACGGACGACUGCGAAAGCAUUUGCCAAGAAUGUUUUCAUUAAUCAAGAACGAAAGUUAGAGGUUCGAAGGCGAUCAGAUACCGCCCUAGUUCUAACCGUAAACGAUGCCAACUAGCGAUUCGCAGGCGUUAAACAACGACCUUGCGGGCAGCUUCCCGGAAACAAAAGUGUUCGGUUUCCGGGGGAAGUAUGGUUGCAAAGCUGAAACUUAAAGGAAUUGACGGAAGGGCACCACCAGGAGUGGAGCCUGCGGCUUAAUUUGACCCAACACGGGAAAACUCACCCGGCCCGGACACCGUAAGGAUUGACAGAUUGAGAGCUCUUUCUUGAUACGGUGGGUGGUGGUGCAUGGCCGUUCUUAGUUGGUGGAGCGAUUUGUCUGGUUUAUUCCGAUAACGAACGAGACUCUGGCCUACUAAAUAGUGGGCGGAUUCUUUCUGUCCGCAACACUUCUUAGAGGGACAAGCGGUGUUCAGCCGCACGAGAUUGAGCAAUAACAGGUCUGUGAUGCCCUUAGAUGUCCGGGGCUGCACGCGCGCUACACUGAAGGAAUCAGCGUGCUUUCUGACCUUGCCCGAAAGGGCUGGGUAACCCGAUGAAAAUCCUUCGUGAUUGGGAUAGGGACUUGCAAUUAUUUCCCUUGAACGAGGAAUUCCCAGUAAGUGUGGGUCAUAAGCUCGCGUUGAUUACGUCCCUGCCCUUUGUACACACCGCCCGUCGCUGCCCGGAACUGAGCCGUUUCGAGAAGAACAGGGACCGUCGUUGAAGGGCCUUAACGGGCUUUUCUCUGAUAGAAACUGUU
rnacentral:rRNA from 1 species